GAUGAAGAACGUAGUGAAAUGCGAUAAGUAGUGUGAAUUGCAGAAUUCAGUGAAUCAUCGAAUCUUUGAACGCACAUUGCGCCCUUUGGUAUUCCUUAGGGCAUGCCUGUUCGAGCGUCAUCUAAACCUUCAAGCUCAGCUUGGUGAUGGGCGACUGUCCCCCCCCCUCGCGGGGGGGACUCGCCUCAAAAACAUUGGCGGCCGGUACAUUGGCUUCGAGCGCAGCAGAAACGCGGUCUCGAGCCCGGUGGAUCGGCUCCCAUAAGCCUAUUCUUUUAUUUUGACCUCGGAUCAGGUAGGGAUACCCGCUGAACUUAAGCAUAUCAAUAAGCGGAGGA
rnacentral:misc_RNA from 1 species